CCCUUAGACGUUCUGGGCCGCACGCGCGCUACACUGACGAAGGCAACGAGCUUUCCUUUACCGAAAGGUACGGGUAAUCUUUUGAAACUUCGUCGUGCUGGGGAUAGAUCCUUGCAAUUAUUGAUCUUAAACGAGGAAUUCCUAGUAAGCGCAAGUCAUCAACUUGCGUUGAUUACGUCCCUGCCCUUUGUACACACCACCCGUCGCUACUACCGAUUGAAUGGUUUAGUGAGGCCUUCGGAUCCGCGACUCGUUUUGUGGAGAAGUUGGACAAACUCAGUCAUUUAGAGGAAGUAAAAGUCGUAACA
rnacentral:rRNA from 1 species